AACGAAGACCAGUUGCUGUGGAAGCUUGGAUGGAGACUUCUUAUUGUAACAGUCCCGCUGCUGGAGAAACUCGAUUAUUGAUGAAGUUAGAAAGAAGUUCGGAGUAGAGACCCGACAGGUGGAGCCUGUUUGUUGUAGGAGUUCGUCUGUGAUCCAUCCACCAUAGAAGUUUGGAUGGAGUCUGCUUGCAAUAGAAGUUCGGGGUAGAGAUCCAACUCUUAUAGGAGCUCGGAUGAAAUCCGAAAGGCGGUCAACCAUCGUAGAAACUUGGAUGGAGUCUGGUUGCCAUAGAAGUUCUGCUAUUGGAGAAGCUCGGACAUUGUUGAAGUUCGAAAGAAGUUCGGAGUAAAGUCGUUCGUGGCCGGAAGA
rnacentral:lncRNA from 1 species